CUACGGGUCGCUGCAGUGAGGAAUAUUGCACAAUGGGGGGAACCCUGAUGCAGCAACGCCGCGUGGAGGAUGACGCAUUUCGGUGUGUAAACUCCCUUUAUAUGUCAAGAAAAUGACGGUAGCAUAUGAAUAAGCACCGGCUAACUCCGUGCCAGCAGCCGCGGUAAUACGGGAGGGUGCAAGCGUUACUCGGAAUCACUGGGCGUAAAGGACGCGUAGGCGGGUUGGAAAGUCAGGUGUGAAAUCCUACAGCUUAACUGUAGAACUGCACUUGAAACUUCUAAUCUAGAGUAUGGGAGGGGGAGAUGGAAUUAGUGGUGUAGGGGUAAAAUCCGUAGAUAUCACUAGGAAUACCUAAAGCGAAGGCGAUCUCCUGGAACAUUACUGACGCUAAGGCGUGAAAGCGUGGGGAGCAAACAGGAUUAGAUACCCUCGUAGUC
rnacentral:rRNA from 1 species